rnacentral:misc_RNA from 1 species
UCCACCUUAUCGGCAGCGAGGGUUGCGCUCGUUGCGGGACUUAACCCAACACCUCACGGCACGAGCUGACGACAGCCAUGCAGCAUCUGUGCACGCUCCCUUGCGGGUCCUUCCGCUUUCACGGUCGUACCACGUGCAUGUCAAGCCCAGGUAAGGUUCUUUGCGUUGCGUCGAAUUAAACCACAUGCUCCGCUGCUUGUGCGGGUCCCCGUCAAUUCCUUUGAGUUUUAGCCUUGCGGCCGUACUCCCCAGGCGGGGCACUUAAUGCGUUAGCUCCGGCACGGGAGGAGUCGACACCUCCCACACCUAGUGCCCAUCGUUUACGGCGUGGACUAC